UACGAAGGGGCUAGCGUUGCUCGGAAUCACUGGGCGUAAAGGGUGCGUAGGCGGGUCUUUAAGUCAGGGGUGAAAUCCUGGAGCUCAACUCCAGAACUGCCUUUGAUACUGAAGAUCUUGAGUUCGGGAGAGGUGAGUGGAACUGCGAGUGUAGAGGUGAAAUUCGUAGAUAUUCGCAAGAACACCAGUGGCGAAGGCGGCUCACUGGCCCGAUACUGACGCUGAGGAGCGAAAGCGUGGGGAGCGAACAGG
rnacentral:rRNA from 1 species